AAAAAUGCACAUAUUGUGAGCUCGAUGAGUAGGGCGGGACACGUGGUAUCCUGUCUGAAUAUGGGGGGACCAUCCUCCAAGGCUAAAUACUCCUGACUGACCGAUAGUGAACCAGUACCGUGAGGGAAAGGCGAAAAGAACCCCGGCGAGGGGAGUGAAAAAGAACCUGAAACCGUGUACGUACAAGCAGUGGGAGCACGCUUAGGCGUGUGACUGCGUACCUUUUGUAUAAUGGGUCAGCGACUUAUAUUCUGUAGCAAGGUUAACCGAAUAGGGGAGCCGAAGGGAAACCGAGUCUUAACUGGGCGUUAAGUUGCAGGGUAUAGACCCGAAACCCGGUGAUCUAGCCAUGGGCAGGUUGAAGGUUGGGUAACACUAACUGGAGGACCGAACCGACUAAUGUUGAAAAAUUAGCGGAUGACUUGUGGCUGGGGGUGAAAGGCCAAUCAAACCGGGAGAUAGCUGGUUCUCCCCGAAAGCUAUUUAGGUAGCGCCUCGUGAAUUCAUCUCCGGGGGUAGAGCACUGUUUCGGCAAGGGGGUCAUCCCGACUUACCAACCCGAUGCAAACUGCGAAUACCGGAGAAUGUUAUCACGGGAGACACACGGCGGGUGCUAACGUCCGUCGUGAAGAGGGAAACAACCCAGACCGCCAGCUAAGGUCCCAAAGUCAUGGUUAAGUGGGAAACGAUGUGGGAAGGCCCAGACAGCCAGGAUGUUGGCUUAGAAGCAGCCAUCAUUUAAAGAAAGCGUAAUAGCUCACUGGUCGAGUCGGCCUGCGCGGAAGAUGUAACGGGGCUAAACCAUGCACCGAAGCUGCGGCAGCGACGCUUAUGCGUUGUUGGGUAGGGGAGCGUUCUGUAAGCCUGCGAAGGUGUGCUGUGAGGCAUGCUGGAGGUAUCAGAAGUGCGAAUGCUGACAUAAGUAACGAUAAAGCGGGUGAAAAGCCCGCUCGCCGGAAGACCAAGGGUUCCUGUCCAACGUUAAUCGGGGCAGGGUGAGUCGACCCCUAAGGCGAGGCCGAAAGGCGUAGUCGAUGGGAAACAGGUUAAUAUUCCUGUACUUGGUGUUACUGCGAAGGGGGGACGGAGAAGGCUAUGUUGGCCGGGCGACGGUUGUCCCGGUUUAAGCGUGUAGGCUGGUUUUCCAGGCAAAUCCGGAAAAUCAAGGCUGAGGCGUGAUGACGAGGCACUACGGUGCUGAAGCAACAAAUGCCCUGCUUCCAGGAAAAGCCUCUAAGCAUCAGGUAACAUCAAAUCGUACCCCAAACCGACACAGGUGGUCAGGUAGAGAAUACCAAGGCGCUUGAGAGAACUCGGGUGAAGGAACUAGGCAAAAUGGUGCCGUAACUUCGGGAGAAGGCACGCUGAUAUGUAGGUGA
rnacentral:rRNA from 1 species